rnacentral:lncRNA from 1 species
UCUCAUGGUUUUUCCUUUCAUGCUAAAAGGACUUUUCCUACUUCUCUGUUUAGGAGUAUAAUCCAGAGGCAGUUCGUCUGAAGGUCCAUAAGCAAAGCCAAUCGUCUCCAUCCUGUCCUGCGUGAACGAAGACACCUAUCCUGCUCUCUCCGCAGUAUCGUGUCUGUGCUGGGUCUGAUAUUUCUCUGAGGAAGGCUGGACAUCUGAGGUGAUGAUUUCAAGCAGUGACUGACCCCUCAAGUUUUAAGGUAUUUCCUUUUUUUAUAAAUCAUGUUAAAAUAGCC